rnacentral:tRNA from 1 species
GGGGUUGUAGCUCAGUGGUAGAGCACUUGCCUAGCAUGUGUGAGACACUGGGUUUGAUCCUCAGCACCCCA